rnacentral:rRNA from 1 species
UACGAAGGGUGCAAGCGUUACUCGGAAUUACUGGGCGUAAAGCGUGCGUAGGUGGUGGGUUAAGUCGGAUGUGAAAGCCCUGGGCUCAACCUGGGAAUGGCAUUCGAUACUGGCCGACUCGAGUUCGAUAGAGGGUGGCGGAAUUCCCGGUGUAGCGGUGAAAUGCGUAGAGAUCGGGAGGAACAUCAGUGGCGAAGGCGGCCACCUGGAUCAGAACUGACACUGAGGCACGAAAGCGUGGGGAGCAAACAGG